rnacentral:rRNA from 1 species
AGAGUUUGAUCAUGGCUCAGGAUGAACGCUGGCGGCGUGCUUAACACAUGCAAGUCGAACGGUGAACCAGGGGCUUGCCUCUGGGGAUCAGUGGCGAACGGGUGAGUAACACGUGAGCAACCUGCCCCGGACUCUGGGAUAAGCGCUGGAAACGGCGUCUAAUACCGGAUAUGAGCUUCCAUCGCAUGGUGGGGGUUGGAAAGAUUUUUCGGUUCGGGAUGGGCUCGCGGCCUAUCAGCUUGUUGGUGAGGUAAUGGCUCACCAAGGCGUCGACGGGUAGCCGGCCUGAGAGGGUGACCGGCCACACUGGGACUGAGACACGGCCCAGACUCCUACGGGAGGCAGCAGUGGGGAAUAUUGCACAAUGGGCGCAAGCCUGAUGCAGCAACGCCGCGUGAGGGAUGACGGCCUUCGGGUUGUAAACCUCUUUUAGCAGGGAAGAAGCGAGAGUGACGGUACCUGCAGAAAAAGCGCCAGCUAACUACGUGCCAGCAGCCGCGGUAAUACGUAGGGCGCAAGCGUUAUCCGGAAUUAUUGGGCGUAAAGAGCUCGUAGGCGGUUUGUCGCGUCUGCUGUGAAAACCCGAGGCUCAACCUCGGGCCUGCAGUGGGUACGGGCAGACUAGAGUGCGGUAGGGGAGAUUGGAAUUCCUGGUGUAGCGGUGGAAUGCGCAGAUAUCAGGAGGAACACCGAUGGCGAAGGCAGAUCUCUGGGCCGUAACUGACGCUGAGGAGCGAAAGGGUGGGGAGCAAACAGGCUUAGAUACCCUGGUAGUCCACCCCGUAAACGUUGGGAACUUAGUUGCGGGGUCCUUUCCACGGAUUCCGUGACGCAGCUAACGACAUUAAGUUACCCGCUCUGGGGAGUACGGCCGCAAGGCUAAAACUCAAAGGAAUAUCUGCUGAAAAACUCGAGCCAUCCGAAGUAGCGCGA